CAAUAGCGUAUAUUUAAGUUGCUGCAGUUAAAAAGCUCGUAGUUGGAUUUCGGGUGGGAAUGGCCGGUCCGCCGUUUCGGUGUGCACUUGCUACGCCCACCUUGCUGCCGGGGACGUGCUCUUGAGUUCACGCUCGGGACACGGAGUCGGCGAGGUUACUUUGAGUAAAUUAGAGUGUUCAAAGCAGGCCUACGCUCUGAAUACAUUAGCAUGGAAUAACACGAUAGGACUCUGGCCUAUCUUGUUGGUCUGUGGGACCGGAGUAAUGAUUAAGAGGGACAGUCGGAGGCAUUCGUAUUUCAUUGUCAGAGGUGAAAUUCUUGGAUUUAUGAAAGACGAACUACUGCGAAAGCAUUUGCCAAGGAUGUUUUCAUUAA
rnacentral:rRNA from 1 species